UCCUCGCUGAAUGAGGCGCUUGUAUGAACCUACCCCAAAACACUAUAUAAAGAGCUGGAUUUCUCUCGUCACACAGAUUUGGCACGGACCGCACACAAGAAACGUUUCUCUCACAAGAGAAAGCAACAUUUAAAAGACUGCGACUUUGGGUAUCCAUGCAUGAUCCUACUUGAAGAUGGUUGGUUGGUCUCUUUGGUGAAGUGGUUCUUAACAGUUCAACAGUUCUUUGCAAAAAUUGUGAAAUGUUUAGGACCACUUGACCAGGCUGACAAAUGCGGCCAAGGCAAAUGGAUACAACACCAGAGCAAAGGGCCGCUUUUAGCCCAAAG